UCUCAAGAACUUUUUCAUCUUGCAAAUUUCAAUUUCUAUACCCAUUAAACAACAACUGCUAUUAUUUUUAAACAUCAUCCACAUUUAGCUUUACUAGAAAGAAGACAGCUCUGCCCACAUUUCAGGUAAACAUGACUCAACCUCCUGCUGCUUAUGCAUCAGCAACUCUCUUGACUCAGUAAAACACUGUCUGCCACCCACACAUGGGUUCAGCCAGGCAGGCUCUCUUUGAUUUGGUCAUUGUUAGAAAAAAAAAUCAGGCAUUCUAACCCCAAUAGGAACUACUCCUCAGCUUCCUCACCUCUCCUGGUAAUCCAAACUGUAUUAGCUUCCUAAUCAUUUGGCAAUUCCUUAUAUGUGCUAGAGAGACAAGAGAGGAGAGCCAAAGAAGUAGCUCUAGGGGUCUAGAAAUUAAUUGUUAUUCUAGUUUGUGAAUGAUGUUUCAACAUAUCUCAUAAUUAAGUAUGAUUUUCCACCAUUCCCAUUGUCUUUCCAGAGCUUCUCCGCCUAAAUUAUACUUCUCUGCAACACAACACACAGUACUUCCCUUAUCAGAGCAUUUCUCAUGCUGUAUUGUAAUUGCUUGUCUGUCUGUCCUCCGUACCAUACUUCAAGUUCUGUGAUGCCAAGGUCUGUGUCAGUCUUGCACUGUAAUGAAGAUGGGUAUAGCAUGAACUCAAUGUUACAGAACUCACUAGCUGCAUGAAGAUUUCUCUGCUUUGCUCUGCCCUAGUCUAGGGCAAAGCCACUUGCAAAUAAUUAGCUAGCUUGUGUUUUCUCUUCUGGUUGCCCACAUGACACUGAGAGGUGCUGGCCUGAGUGCCAGGAGAGCAGGAACUAGGCUAAACUUUGCUUCCCUUAAAUACCCAGCAUCUAGUGCCAUUGCUGGCUCAUGGUAGAUGUUCAAAAAACAUUCUGAGGAUGAAUGAAUGAAUUAGAGCAAUGAAGACCCAAAUGAAGUUUCAUAAAGAAAGUUUCUUUCAUUCAUCUACUCACUCACUGUAUUAGAUGCUUACUCUAUAGUAGGCACUAUGUUCAUGACUAAGGGGAAAGGUAGCAGUUACGAAACGGGGUUACUGGCUUAAUAGGCAUAAUUAGAAGGGGCUCUUAACCUCAUAGAGGGGAGGAGGGAGUAAAGUUGAGGACAUGCUUGUCAGGAAGGUGAGUGAUUGAGGAAGUGAUGGUCAGCUAGACUAUUGGGAAAAAAAAAAAAGCUAGAUGAAAUGAGUGAAGGGAUGAGAAUGGGUGGUGAGAAUUCCAGGACAAGGGAAGUAGUUUAUGAUGCAAAGUUUCAAAGACUAGAGAGAGCAUCAGGCUGAGUUCAGUGGCUCAAAUCUGUAAUCCCAGCACUUUGGAAGGCCAAGGCAGAUGGAUCGCUUGAGCUCAGGAGUUCCAGACCAGCCUGGGCAAUAUAGCAAAACCCUGUCUUUACAAACAAUACAAAAAUUAGCUGAUGUGGUGGCACACGCUUGUAGCUGCAGCUACUAAGGAGGGUGAGGUGAGAUGAUCAAUUGAACCCAUGACAUUGAGGCUGCAGUGAGUUGUGACUGCACCAUUGCACUCCAGCCUGGGUGACAGAGAGACCCUGUCUCAAAAACAAAACAAAAGAGAGAACACUGUGCAUUCAUGGAAAUAUAAGAAGCUGAGCGUGUGGGCAAGGUGGGAGUGGAGAGAGAUGAGGCCUGAGAGGGAAAGGCCAGGUCUCUGGGGUCAUGGAAGUCAGCUAGUAUGUCAGGCUGCAUCCCAAGGUAAAUGGAGAGUGAUUAAGUGCUGUAAGGGUAGGGUGACAUCAUCAGAUUUAUGUUAGGAAGUCAUCCCAGCUGGAGAGUGGAUUAGAAGGGAUGACGGGAUAAAAACUGGGCAUGACAAAUGAGGAUGGCUUGGUCAAAGGUGUGAUGGUAGAGAUGCAAUUAUCAUCAGAGCAGUGAGGCAGGGGAAAGAAGUGUCUAGUUGGGCUCAUAUUUUUAAAUAACUUUGGACAGAACCAACCAAGCCACAGAAGUGCAUGUCAAAUGUUUUAUUCCACAUCAACCAUUACUUUUCAUCCUCAAGCCUUUGCUGAAGGCUAUGGAACCCAGCUUUGGCUGGGUCUGAGUGCAGAGACCUAAGAGGAUCUGGUUUGAAACCUCUUUCCCUGUGAGAAGAGAGUCAGUGACCAAAUGUAGAGACAGCAGUGAAUUAUUGAUGGACCUACAUGUUUUACACAUACAGAUGCUGCUAAAGACAGUUUUCCCCUAAAAUCAGCAGUUAGCAAAUGUUUUAAUUAGAUCAAGGCAUUCCUACCUUGUAGGUUGUUCCAGAAUCUUGGGGUGAGAACAUUUGUAAUUUGCAAAAGUAAUAUUUUAUCUGUGGAAGGCAAGCACAUGGAAGAAAAAUCUAUUGUCUUGUACUAUAAACUAAAGAAAAUAAACAAAAUCAUCCUGGCUGUGGGAUGUACAAAUGUUCAGUGUUAUAUGUGUGUCAGUCACUGAUAGAGGGCUGGGGAAAAAACUAAAGUCUGCCACAGGGACUGAGUGGCAGAGAUAUUUAUGCUUAUCAGAGGUGGCGGGCAGGCAUCAAGAAAUUUUGAGAAAGUGAAUUAAAGUCUUAUAAAUACUUUAGUCAUAAAGGCCAAUGAUGAUUGUAUUAUACUUUCUGCAUUUGUUAAAAUACAACAUAAUCAUAUUUGGCAUCUAAUCACUCCAGAUUUUGUGGUAGCCACUGGGAUCCACCAACCACCUUUGUCCCUAGGAGCACAUGAUUUAAUAAAGAAGACAGAUACAGGGACUAUUAACACUCUACCAUGAUAAGUAUCAUAACAGAUAAAUGUUUAAAGAACUCAGAGAAGAGAGGGAUGGAUUUCUAGUUGUUCAACUGUGUUUAUAUAUCUUUAUGGUAGACAUCAUAAGUCAACAUUGGGGAACCCUAUAUUCAACCUUAUAAAAUAAUGUAAAUAUUUUUAAAAUCCUGUAAAACCUAUAAUCCUCCCAGCAUCCCAGGAGCAGCAUUGUCCCUGUGGGAGGACUUGAUUGAAGCCUACAAGGAUGAGAUGACUGAGAUACUAGUACCAGAUGAUCAGGGUCAUCAUCCAGAUCAAAGGGGACUUCAAGUCUAGCCUCUUCUGUGACAUCACACUAAAUGUGUCCCCUCCUUUUUUUAAAAAAACUAAGAUACAAACUUUGGUUUCAUUUCUGGGACCAAACAUAGUCAACAUUUUCCGGAAUUAAAACCUGUAAGAAAUUUGUUCUUAAGUUCCAAUGUAUAAUCUCUUGAAGAGCUUCCUUCUUUAUGGGCUCACCUUACAGAUGCGCUGUGAGUUAAAAGAAAAGGCCAGGCUUGGGAAGCAGAGAGACCUGUUUCAAAUCUGUCUUAGGACUCACUGGCUGUGCCAGCUUAGGCCAGAAUCAACAGGCUCUGGUCUCAGUCCCUGUAGUGGCACACUGGGGAAACAGAUGACAUCGUAAGAUGAGCACAGGCCCUGGCCCUGGGUAGCUGCCUUGACCCUAUCUCUGCUGCCACCAUCCUACCAUCCUGGUCCAAGCUACCAUCUCUUAUCUGGAUUGUGGCAAUUAUGGGGUGUUUUUCUUUUCUUUUCCUUUUCUUUUUUGAGACAAAGUCUGGCUCUGUUGCCCAGGCUGGAAUGCAGUGGCACAAUUUUGGCUCACUGCAACCUCCGCCUCCUGGGUUCAAGCGAUUCUCCUGCCUCAGCCUCCCAAGCAGCUGGGAUUACAGGUGCCCGCCACCACACCCAGCUAAUUUUUUUGUGUUUUUAGUAGAGACGGGUUUCACCAAGUUGGCCAGGCUGGUCUCAAACUCCCGACCUCAGGUGAUCCGCCUGCCUCAGCCUCCCAAAGUGCUGGGGUUACAGGUGUGAGCCACCCAUUUAUUCUGUGCCACUUCAAUCUACCAGUCUCUUCCCUGAUAGCAAAAAGAAUCGAGUCACCACCUUUAAAAGAUGAAAAUCCUCAACAUGAUUUACAAUAUUUUUUCCAAACUGCAGGUCAUGAGCCAUUAGUGGCUCAUAGAAACAAUUUAGUGGGUCAACACCAGCACUUUUUUAAAAAAGUGAAGUAGAACAGAAAUAUGAAAUUGCAAUGCCAAUCAUAAGCAUAAGAAUUAUUUCAUCAAACUUUUCUCAUUAUGGGCCUUCUCAAAAAGUGUUUGAAGGCCUCUGGCCUAUAAUAACCUGAGUAAUAUGACCCCUGCCUCCUCCUUUAGCCCCACUUCCCAUCAUCCCCCACGCGGUUCUCCGCGCUUUACCCACACUAGCCUUCCUUAAAUUCCUCCAAUACAUCAUGUUCCCUUCUGUGGGAGACCACUUAGCACAUGGUUUUCCUCCUUGCCUAGUUAAUGUCAUCCUCCAGGUCUCAGCUCAGAUGCCACUUCUUCAGGCAAACCUUCCCGGAUUACAUCCUGAACCCCUGUAGCUGUCAGGGUCUCACAGAUCUGUGUUCAGUUUUUAGUUAUCCCUUUAAUAGCAUGUUUCCUCGGUUAAUGACAAACUUUCCCACUAGGCUGUCUUUGUGACCGCAGGAGCCCUGCUCUUGUUUACCCCUGUGGUAAUCCAGUGCCUAUCUCAGGCUGGCACCUAGGCAUUCAGAGGGAUAAAUGAAGGAAAGAAUUGGCCAACCUGUUGACCAAUGACGUUGGCUGGCCUCCUUCCUUGCUUGGUAUCGGUUUUGUUUCUAACACUUGCACCAAGAAAACCACACAGGGUUAUACUGUCUGCCUAGUUUAGGAACUUCCUUUAACAGUAUUUCUUUACUCUCUGAGUUUCUGGUGAGCUAAAAAAACAUAACAAAAAACAAAAAACUCCAUCAAAAUUGUAUGCGUGUGCUGGUCGUUGAGUACUUCGGUGGAGAGUGGGAGACGCAUCUUCAUGAAAUUUCAGAGGGGAACUCUGCCCAUCCACUCCGAACCAGCCGCAGCUCCACGAGCAUCUCACGCCACCCCUCUGCAUCACCAGGGCGGCCGUGGGGCGCGCGCGAUCAGCAGGCUUCUUGGCGCCCAGUCCAUGCGACUAUCUCUUCCCAGCCCCGGGACUAGGCCCGCCCCACUCGGAUUCUCCACUCUUGGUAGCGCGCGUCCCCCGGACUGCUGAGACCAGGCGGCGCGGAGGCAGGUGACCCGC
rnacentral:lncRNA from 1 species